rnacentral:rRNA from 1 species
GAUGAACGCUGGCGGCGUGCCUAAUACAUGCAAGUCGAGCGAACAGACGAGGAGCUUACUCCUCUGACGUUAGCGGCGGACGGGUGAGUAACACGUGGAUAACCUACCUAUAAGACUGGGAUAACUUCGGGAAACCGGAGCUAAUACCGGAUAACAUGUUGAACCGCAUGGUUCAACAGUGAAAGACGGUCUUGCUGUCACUUAUAGAUGGAUCCGCGUCGCAUUAGCUAGUUGGUAAGGUAACGGCUUACCAAGGCAACGAUGCGUAGCCGACCUGAGAGGGUGAUCGGCCACACUGGAACUGAGACACGGUCCAGACUCCUACGGGAGGCAGCAGUAGGGAAUCUUCCGCAAUGGGCGAAAGCCUGACGGAGCAACGCCGCGUGAGUGAAGAAGGUCUUCGGAUCGUAAAACUCUGUUAUUAGGGAAGAACAAAUGUGUAAGUAACUAUGCACGUCUUGACGGUACCUAAUCAGAAAGCCACGGCUAACUACGUGCCAGCAGCCGCGGUAAUACGUAGGUGGCAAGCGUUAUCCGGAAUUAUUGGGCGUAAAGCGCGCGUAGGCGGUUUUUUAAGUCUGAUGUGAAAGCCCACGGCUCAACCGUGGAGGGUCAUUGGAAACUGGAAAACUUGAGUGCAGAAGAGGAAAGUGGAAUUCCAUGUGUAGCGGUGAAAUGCGCAGAGAUAUGGAGGAACACCAGUGGCGAAGGCGACUUUCUGGUCUGUAACUGACGCUGAUGUGCGAAAGCGUGGGGAUCAAACAGGAUUAGAUACCCUGGUAGUCCACGCCGUAAACGAUGAGUGCUAAGUGUUAGGGGGUUUCCGCCCCUUAGUGCUGCAGCUAACGCAUUAAGCACUCCGCCUGGGGAGUACGACCGCAAGGUUGAAACUCAAAGGAAUUGACGGGGACCCGCACAAGCGGUGGAGCAUGUGGUUUAAUUCGAAGCAACGCGAAGAACCUUACCAAAUCUUGACAUCCUCUGACCCCUCUAGAGAUAGAGUUUUCCCCUUCGGGGGACAGAGUGACAGGUGGUGCAUGGUUGUCGUCAGCUCGUGUCGUGAGAUGUUGGGUUAAGUCUCGCAACGAGCGCAACCCUUAAGCUUAGUUGCCAUCAUUAAGUUGGGCACUCUAAGUUGACUGCCGGUGACAAACCGGAGGAAGGUGGGGAUGACGUCAAAUCAUCAUGCCCCUUAUGAUUUGGGCUACACACGUGCUACAAUGGACAAUACAAAGGGUAGCGAAACCGCGAGGUCAAGCAAAUCCCAUAAAGUUGUUCUCAGUUCGGAUUGUAGUCUGCAACUCGACUACAUGAAGCUGGAAUCGCUAGUAAUCGUAGAUCAGCAUGCUACGGUGAAUACGUUCCCGGGUCU